rnacentral:lncRNA from 1 species
GGCCGAGGCAGCCGGGAGCAUGCCCAGCCCUGUCAAGGCGGUCCAGAGCGGAGUGGGAAGUGGCGGGAUUCCGUCUCCGUCUGCACCCGCGAUUUAGCCGAGUCCACGGCGCCGCCGCGCGGACCCGAAGCCCGGACGCCGCAAGCCCUCAUGGGCCCGUGAAGUCAGCUCGCGCCCCGCGGGAACCCAGCCCGGGCCCCUGCUGGACCGUGGGGGAACGCGGACUGCACCCCCGAAGCCCGCAGCCUGGCAGCCCACAGGCACGAGAACCCAGCCCGGUGAGCAGCACCGAGAGCCCCCGAGGCCGCCGCGAGAGAAGCGCUUCGUCCACGCCGCUGCUUCAGGUGUGGGAAGAGGAAGAUACAGGUCUUAGCAUGGGCCUUAGCAUCCAGCAGACAUCGCCCAUACAGAAGCCAUGAUCAUCACAUCUCAACCUAGAAGCAAGCUUGAAAACACCCAGGUAAAACACGCAUGCACAUGAAAGAAGAGAGACACCACAAAGCAGGUCAUUUUCACCAGAUGCUGGGAAAAAAUAACUCUCUUGGUAUAGGAAUUAUGAAGUGACAUUUCCAUAACAAAAUUCUCUCAAAGUGACACUAUUUAAGUGAAAGUGAGCAAAACUACAUAACGACAGACUUCUUUAUCACCUGUCUUCAUUGCAAUGAUUUAAAAGCCUAUCCCUUCUCAAUCUCCUAAGGAAUUGGGAACUUGUAAAUCUUCACAUCCCCUCCUGUCUCCCUCAAUACUUGGCCAAGUACCUUGCUCAAAGUAGUUGCUCAAUAAAUAACUUGUUGAAUGGACACAGUAAUUUCAUAUCACAAUUCAUAUGAAUGAGGAUAAAAGAACAAAAUGAAGAGAAUGAUUCAGCUGAGAUGGCCCUAAAAUAGAGGGCUUGGCAGAAUUCAGGAUUUGUAAUGCUAUUAUAGCAUUAUGGAUUUGGUAUAAAAAGAUCAAUGUCAUAAACCGCAUAGUAGUGCCAAGAAAGUAAUUUUACUUUCAAAUUGGAACUUGAAAGAAAAGCAAAUAUCAUCGACAUGAUGAACAAGAUGUUUUUCUUUUGUGAGAGGUACCCUGCCAACCAAUUUAAUGGUAUAAAAGUGAACUACCUGAGACUUGAAGUCAAUAUGUGAUAUGAUAAAAUUAGAAUAAAUUUACCCGGCCUAGCUCCUCAGCUUUUCAAACUCAAAGACAAUGAAACCAAAUCUUUGAACUGACUGGUGAAUAAAGCACUCUGAGAGAACUGCUCCUCUAGAAUAUAAAUGAUAAUAAGAAUUAAAGGAGCUGUAUAAAAGACCAA